CCGACAUGACGCUCGGCGGGACGCUGCUGUCGACGGCCGGCCGGGGCUGGCUUCCGCUUGUCUCCGCUCUGCUGCUUGUCGUGGGACUCGAUGCGGCCUUCGUGCGGAGGAUAAACCCAGGAUACGUCGGAAGAAAUGGUGGAGAAAUCCAGAUCGAGGGGUCAGGCUUCGCGGAGGACCAGUACUCCCAGUUCCAGCCCGAGUUGGGAAACUCCGUGACCUUCGUCAACGACUGGGACACGGUGCCCUGCAAGGUGAACGUCUACAAGACCAGC